rnacentral:lncRNA from 1 species
GGCCCCAUCGACCAGGAAGGACUUAAAUGGAGCCCGCGGAGCCAGACCAACGCGCCAGCAGACCAGGGACAUCGGCAGGCCCGGUCUGUCUACAGCACAAACGCAGGGUCUGUAGGAGCGUGUCGUGGUGACAGCGUCAAGUGGACAGAACGAACGAGUCCUGAGACGAAACUAUUUAAAAGCACUGGCCUGCGGCCGACGCGGGAGAAAAGAGAGGUGGACGGCCUACGGCUUUCCCAAAGCAAGAGCGUGUCAAGAAUCGCACCGCCCCGGGGGCGGGGGCGCGGCGCCCGACCCUCCUCGGCCACCCUGAGCCGCCGCCGCUCCCGCUUCCCGCCGCCGCCGGCCCCUGCGCCGCCGCCGCUGCCGCCGCCACCAUGGCUCCCUCCUGCUCGGCCGCCGAGCCGCCUACCGCCGCCGUUGCCGUCGCCGUCGCCGCCGCCCCGUCCCCUCCGAACUGCUCCUCCGACAUAGUGCUCCUGCCGCCGCCGAAGACGACACCCGCCGCCGCCGCCGCCGCGAACCGAAACUAGCAGCAAAGUGAUCCCCGCCGCCGGCGCGCGAUGCCCGCUCUACCUCGCGAGGCACCCGAGACAAGGCGCGCGCGUGGCUGCAAGGGCUCCUGCGCCUCUCCCCGGCCUGCCCCCCUCGCCUCCCACUCUCGCGCGCCGCGCUCCCUCGCUCUCCCCGGCUGCACUGGAAAAAA